GACCUCAAAUCAGGUGGAAUUACCCGCUGAACUUAAGCAUAUCAAUAAGCGGAGGAAAAGAAACUAACAAGGAUUCCCCUAGUAACGGCGAGUGAAGAGGGAUCAGCCCAAAUUUGUAAUCUGGCUCUUUCAGAGUCUGAGUUGUAAUUUCAAGAAACUGUUUUCUGCUCUGGACCGUGUACAAGUCUGUU
rnacentral:rRNA from 1 species